CCUCCCCUACUCCCUCUGCCCUCUGGGUAAAGGGGAUAUGUGAAACACUCUUGCUUUCUGGGCGCCAUCUUUAGUAUUGGCAGGAAAAAACCCGUUGCCGGGGUUACCUGGGACCUUGCUAUGGAGGAGUUUGGUUGGCAUCUGGGCUCCUACAGUUGCUGGUCUUAAACUCAUCAUGUCACUCAGGCUGGCCCAAACUUACAGAGAUUCUCCUGCCUCAUUCUCCUGAGUCCUGGGAUUACAGUUGUGCACCAUCACGCCAGCUUUAUUUGAGAUAUAGUUCAGAGACCACAAAAUCCACUCGUUUGAGUUGUACAGUGUGCGGGCCGGGGAUCUAGCUCAGUGGUGCCACCGCCUGCCUCACAAGCACGAGGUCCCGAGUUCGAUCUCAGUGCUAUAAGAACAGCUGCUGUCUACUGAGGGAUGAAGGCCUCAUGGAGCAAGAUCCUGGAGGAUAAGGCAGCACCGCAGAAUGUUUCCAGUCACCUCCCGUCACCACGAGGUUCACCCAACCAGGUGCAGUCAAUGCACGGGAGCAUGAGAAAUGCUCCUUGUUGUCUGUUCAGCUAAGCCAUGGGGUAGAUUGUCAUCCAAGAAUGGGUAACGAAGUCCCACUGUAGAAGGUCGAUGUGGAUGUUAAACAAGUCAGUGCGUGCGAAGAUCUGGGGGGUCCUCCAUAUGUGUGGGAUCUCCAUCCGCAGACUCAGAGAACAAACAUUCAAAACACGAUUGCAUCUGAAUGGAACCUGUCCAGACCUUUUCCUUGUCAUCAUUCAGUAACAAUAUGGACAACAGCU